AGAGAUGGAUUGGUGCCUUCGGGAACUCUGACACAGGUGCUGCAUGGCUGUCGUCAGCUCGUGUCGUGAGAUGUUGGGUUAAGUCCCGUAACGAGCGCAACCCUUGUCCUUAGUUACCAGCACGUUAUGGUGGGCACUCUAAGGAGACUGCCGGUGACAAACCGGAGGAAGGUGGGGGAUGACGUCAAGUCAUCAUGGCCCUUACGGCCUGGGCUACACACGUGCUACAAUGGUCGGUACAAAGGGUUGCCAAGCCGCGAGGUGGAGCUAAUCCCAUAAAACCGAUCGUAGUCCGGAUCGCAGUCUGCAACUCGACUGCGUGAAGUCGGAAUCGCUAGUAAUCGUGAAUCAGAAUGUCACGGUGAAUACGUUCCCGGGCCUU
rnacentral:rRNA from 1 species